GACGUAGGGCGCGAGCGUUGUCCGGAUUUAUUGGGCGUAAAGAGCUCGUAGGCGGCUUGUCGCGUCGUCCGUGAAAACCUGUGGCUCAACUGCAGGCUUGCGGUCGAUACGGGCAGGCUGGAGUUCGGUAGGGGAGACUGGAAUUCCUGGUGUAGCGGUGAAAUGCGUAGAUAUCGGGAGGAACACCAGUGGCGAAGGCGACUUCCUGGCCUGUUCUUGACGCUGAGGCGCGAAAGCUAGGGGAGCAAACGGG
rnacentral:rRNA from 1 species